rnacentral:tRNA from 1 species
GGCUCGGUAGCUUAGUUGGUUAAGCACUCGUCUGGCAUACAAGGUCGUGGAUCUGAAUCUCACCUGAGCUC